GGAGAUUUCCUGGGAGCAGGGAAGAGAGCUUGAGCCAGGAAGGGUUUGAGUCACAUCCUGGUUGAGCCAGAAGGCAACAGGAUGUGUUCCUGGAACGGGCAGGCAGCCUCAUAGAGGAAAUGAAAGCACAGCCAUGGAGCUAACUAUGGCACCACAGCUUCAAAGGGCUGGGGUGCAAUGGUGCGAUCUUGGCUCACCACAACCUCCGCCUUCCGGGUUCAAGUGAUUCUCCUGUCUCAGUCUCCUGAGUAGCUGGGAUUACAGCUGAAGAAAACUCUGCUUUUAAAAGGAUUCAUCUGAUUCGAUUGGGCCCACCUGGAUAAGCCCUCCCUUUGCCAUGUAAAGCAACACUAUCAUGAGAGUGACAUCUCUUCGUAUCCAUAGAGUCUGUCCAUGCUCAAAGGGGAAGAGAUUCCCGACGAGGGUUCUGGGGUCCAUGCAAAGAACAUGCAGGAUUGUUGCAUAGGUACAUACAUGGCAAUGUGGUUUGCUGCCUCCAUCCCCAUCACUGAUAUCUGGCAUUUCUCCCCAUGUUAUCCCUCCCCAACUCCCCACACCCCAGUCCUAGUCCCCCUCCACAGACCUCAGUGUGUGAUGCUUCCCUCCCUGUGUCCGUGUGUUCUCAUUGUUCAACACCCGCCUAUGAGUGAGAACAUGCAGUGCUUCAUCUCUGUUCCUGUGUCAGUUUGCUGAGAAUGAUGGUUUCCAGGUUCAUCCAUGUCCCUACAAAGGACACGAACUCAUUGUUUUUUAUGGCUGCAUAGUAUUCCAUAGUGUAUAUGUGCCACAUUUUCCCUGUCCAGUCUAUCAUCGAUGGGCAUUUGGGUUGGUUCCAGGUCUUUGCUAUGGUAAACAGUGCUGCAGUGAACAUACAUGUGCAUGUGUCCUUAUAAUAGAACGAUUUAUAGUCCUUUGGAUAUAUGCCCAGUACUGGGAUUGCUGGGUCAAAUGGAUCACUUUUUAUUCUUGAUCAUUAUCAUCAGAGAUUCAUCAUUUGAUUGGGGUUUUCAGAGGGGCCAAGUUUGACUUUGUUGUUCUUCUGUCUUGUAUAUUUGUUUACAAUUUAUAUAUAUUUUUAUUUCCUUCCUUCUGCUUUAUUUGAGUUUAUUUUGCUGUUUUUAUAUAACUUUCUUAGAUGCAUUCUCAUUGGCUCAUUGAUUUUCAGCUUGUCUAUGCUAGUCUGCUGGAGUGAAAUGAAAAAGUUACUUUUUUAUUUGCUUUGUUUUAAAGUUUUUUAAUAACAUAAAAUUCAAAUAUAUCCAAAAGUAAAUGUAUCAUGAUCUUUCACGUCUGCAUCUCAGCCUUAGCCACCGGCACAUGGACGUCGUUCCCUCUGUGUUCUUACUUUUAUUUUAUUUUAUUUUUUUUUUGAGGCGGAGUUUCGCUCUUGUUACCCAGGCUGGAGUGCAAUGGCGCGAUCUCAGCUCACCGCAACCUCUGCCUCCUGGGUUCAGGCAAUUCUCCUGCCUCAGCCUCCUGAGUAGCUGGGAUUACAGGCACGUGCCACCAUGCCCAGCUAAUUUUUGUAUUUUUAGUAGAGACGGGGUUUCACCAUGUUGACCAGGAUGGUCUCGAUCUCUUGACCUCAUGAUCCACCCGCCUCGGCCUCCCAAAGUGCUGGGAUUACAGGCGUGAGCCACCGCGCCCGGCCUGUGUUCUUACUUCUACUCGCUCCCGCUGUCUAUUGAUUAUUUUGAAGAAAUUCCACAUUAUUGUCGCAGUGACAACAGAUAAUAAUUCCUUACUAUCAUCAAAUAUGCAGUCAGUGUUUACAUUUCCCCAAUUCAAUUAUCUUCUCUCUCCCUCUGUCCAGUUUAACAUUCAAAUUGGGAGUCAAAUAAAGUGCAUACAUGGAAAUUGUUGGUGCGUCUCUUGGUCUGUGUCCUCUCCCUACGUCCUUCUCUCACUCCCUCUUUCCUUUGCAAUGUACUUUUGAAGAAAUAAGACCAUAUGACCUAUAGAGUUUCUCAUCUUUUGGAUUUUUCUAAUUGUGUCUCCUGGGUGUCAUCUUACCCAGGGGUUCGUGGCCUGUUAGGAACGGGGCCACACAGCAGGAGGAGAGUGGUGGGUGAGUGAGCACUACUGCCUG
ensembl:lncRNA